rnacentral:rRNA from 1 species
GAUGAACGCUGGCGGCGUGCCUAAUACAUGCCAGUCGAGCGAACAGACGAGGAGCUCGCUCCUCUGACGUUAGCGGCGGACGGGUGAGUAACACGUGGAUAACCUACCUAUAAGACUGGGAUAACUUCGGGAAACCGGAGCUAAUACCGGAUAAUAUAUUGAACCGCAUGGUUCAAUAGUGAAAGACGGUUUUGCUGUCACUUAUAGAUGGAUCCGCGCCGCAUUAGCUAGUUGGUAAGGUAACGGCUUACCAAGGCAACGAUGCGUAGCCGACCUGAGAGGGUGAUCGGCCACACUGGAACUGAGACACGGUCCAGACUCCUACGGGAGGCAGCAGUAGGGAAUCUUCCGCAAUGGGCGAAAGCCUGACGGAGCAACGCCGCGUGAGUGAUGAAGGUCUUCGGAUCGUAAAACUCUGUUAUUAGGGAAGAACAAAUGUGUAAGUAACUAUGCACGUCUUGACGGUACCUAAGCAGAAAGCCACGGCUAACUACGU